ensembl:lncRNA
GUGCUGGUGAAUGAAGGGCAGCUGAGCAGUGAGGCUCUGCUAUAAAAGGGACCUGCUGGGUUAGGAGCCUCCAAAAGGUCAUAUGGGAGCUGGGGUUGAGAAUAUGUAGGCUGCUGCUAUGAUGCACUAGGGGAACAAUAGGCUUACAGCAAGGCUCUGAGUGCAUAUCUAGAGAUUUAACCUCAGGUCUUUGAUUGUGGUUAAAGCUUUGAUUGUUGAAAGCUAGUGAGACAGCUGCUAGAGAGAAGAGGAAGUAGAUGUAUUUAGAAACUGCUUUUUAUGACUGGUACCAUUUUCCAGCUGUUUGCUGCUCUGGAGGGAGUGAAGGAGAAGAUCUAAAGCAAAGAAGAUUCAGAACCAGAAGCAAUUCUGAAAGUCUAUGGCCUUGAUAUCCAUAGACUUCCAUCUCAUGUCGGCAUUCCUGUUAUCAAGACACUCCCUCUGAAGCUAUGGAGUUGCAGAGCUGUUUGCAGGUGGUCCAGCUGACUCUUAUAUGAGGCAAUGACCUUCUCUGCACUGUAACAUACUGGUGCUGGACCCGGCUGUAUGUGAAUUCCUCGCAGACUAGGAGAGUUAGGAGGAGCACUGACUACGUGGUACCCAGCAGCUAGCAAAUUGCAUACCUGCUCUACGUGGGAACCCAGCAGAGCAGGAUGGCCCAGGGCCUCAGCAGAGAGCUUCCUGGGAUCUCGGCCAUAUGGCACACUGCACUGGUUACGCGUGAAGAGGUUCACUUGAGGCUUUCCUAUACAUGUGGUUAACAAGACAGUCUACUUCUUCAGCAGGUUUCAAUUAGUGUGGCUGCUCUGUGGGCGGCACUGGCUCAGUCUGGCAGCUUUGCCAAUGGUCUCAUUGGCUUCUCUUACUUUUGCCUGCAUGACUCUGGGUCUUCAGCUGCUGAUAGAAGAAACGUCUUUUCUGACUGCACUGCAAGGGGCUCUGGAGACACCUGAGCUGUAGGUAGUGUACAGCUGGCACAUCUGAAUGUAAUGCCAGUCAGCGAGCUGGGAGAAAGGACUGCUAUCAUCUUGGGUGUCCACAGGGGAGGAAAGGGUGAGUGCUCUGAAACUCUUCCUAUUCCAGCUGUGUCUUUUCCCCUCCACGGAGCCUGAGCCUCCAGGAGGCUCCUGCCCUGAGCAAAGUGGCUGGGGAUGAGGGUAAAGGGCUGCUGUAAUGGGGAAGUCCAAGGGCUACCAUAGAACCUUCUGCCCCCCCCUCCCCCCAAGAGCCAUGUCCUGCUGCAGCGGGACUUGAGCAGCCAUGAGGAGAGGAGGAACUGAAGGUCUGAUCUGGGUGCUCUGACUCACUACUCAGCUGAGCAGGAAGCAUGAGGGGACUCAACUGGUGUGAUCAGGAAAACAGCAGGAGCUGGGUUUUUGAGAAGGAACUGGAACAGAGAAACCUUUGUGCUUCCUGCAGGCAUGUGGUAGGGAGAAGGGACGGUUUUAGACCUGUUUUAUUGUGGUGAAAAUUGAGAGGGUCGUGCCGCCAUGCUUGGCGCUAGCUGUGUAGGUAGCUGUCGUGGUGGUGGAGGGGAGGUCAGUGUGUGGGGUGACACUUGUUGCUCUUUGUCACACUGCUGGCAUUCUGUGAUAGGUUCCAAAAGCAUUCGGAAAUCCCAAACAGAGUCAGAAAUUAAAAACGGGUGGUGGUUUGUGGUUCAUAUGACAGAAGGCAUAAACCAGCAGGGAAGUGUGUACAGGUGACAUUGAGCCACUGGCUGUAGUUUUAAAUGCUGAAAUAAGCGAUGCUGGUUGUUUCACGAAGCCAAGUUCCUCAUCCAGCUAUUACAGAGCUGACAUUUGGGAAAUCAGAUGCACGUGUAGCCCUUACGGACAGACUCUGCUUUGCAUGAGCUUUGCUGAGAUUUGCACCGCCAGGCAUCUCACUUCUGUUUGUCACUGUGAUUGCCUUCUUGGCAAUGCAUCGUGCCAUUUACUGCCCCUCAUGUCCUUAACUGGAAUUAGCUGCCACCCCCUCUCCCAAUGGCUCAAUCACAGCUCUUCAGCAGCUCAGCUCCUUGUUUCCCUCUGCUGCCAGCCUACUCUGCAAUCACCUUUGCAGUAAGAACGGUUUUGCAUUGGUGUCCCUGUCUCCCUCCCAAAGAGCUGCCUAGCCCUGUCCCCUCAGCCAUGGAAAAACUAUUUUCAAACACAAGAGCAAAGAGGAAGACUUUCAGCAGCUGUAAAGCUCUACUUUUCCUGGGAGGUGCUCUGUCACUGCCAGCUGCCAGGGAUGUCUCAGUGAUUUUUGCUGAUGAUGGGAGAAUUGCAUUUGAACUAAAGAGGCAAAGGGAUUAUCUUUAAGCUAACACACUGAAUGAGUACUGCCCUCAUUUUUGCUGCACUGAGGCCCCUCAUGAUCACAAACAGCUCCUUUCCCCUCUGUAGCACUUGUACAGAGGGGAACUGACCGCAUUUAACAGGCCAACGUAGUCUGAAGUGGGGUUUGCAUGAGAGCUACAAUGCCUAAUCCCAGCCUGGCAAAUAUAUACUGUUUGAUGUGCUUUGGGCAGUCUUUUGCAGGUGAGCAUGGCAAUGAACAGCGAGAGCAUCUGUAAGUAUGUGUGCUACUGCCCUUUGUGUUGAGAUGGUGCCACGAGGCCAGGCAGCUGACCUGCCUCCCGCAGACCAGAGAGUGCUGACACCACACAUGGUGUCCUGGCAAACAUUUGGGUUAGAAAUGUCUGUAUUAGCUGGCCAUGUGGAAGGGAGAUGUAUUGCUGCUGUGCAACUGAGGGCAAAGAGACAGCCCCCAGCACUCAUGCAGCUCAGGAUCUGCCUGCAGCACAGCUCAGCACUGUGCUGUCAGGGGGCAGAGCUGAAGGCCCUGUCAGCCUCACGGCAACACAGGCAGCUCAACCCCAAGUGGAGCAGGUGGGACAGAAGGUCCCCACCGCAGCCAUCGAUGUGCCCAACCAAACCCUACUUCCCUGUGCCAGACACUCAAUGUCAAAUCUCUCUUCGAGAGACCGCAGCAGAAAAUCUGAGAAGCAGGAAAGCAUCAUCUGUGCCAGCUGCAGGAGGAUUAGGAGACCUGCCCAGUGUGUGAGUGAAGCCAAUAGCAGAGUGAGAAGCAAAUGCAUGAUGAGUGACUCAGGCUCCAGGCUGGCCCAGCCCAAGGGGUGUGAACCUGCAUCACCUCUUGAGCAGCUCCAUCCCACCCAGGGACCUCUCGCCAUCGUCCCAUCAGGACUGAUGUGCUGCCAGAAACCAGAAAUAGUAUCCUGAAGAAGAAAAAAAAAAAGUGUGGGGGGAGGGGGACGUUUGUGCUGUAUCAAUGUGUUCUGGUUUGGGUUUUUCAAAACAAAAUGCUUCUGGCCUUUGCUUGGAAAAGGAUUUUCAGCUGUAUUUGUGUGCAAAAGCGCUGAUUAUGUGUUACAAUGGAAGGAGUCGAAAUCAAAAGGAAAGGAAAUAGAACGCUGAGAGACAACGGCCUGGAGAAAAACCAACCCCAGACAGCUGGGAAAUCCCAGCUCUUUGUCUGCAGAUAGAUCUGAAAAGACCAAGGGGUUUUUCCUUUGAUUCUCAGGUUUGCCCUGAAUCCAAAUGAAAGCUAAUACUGGUAUAGCUGACUUCUGCGAAGAGAAAACAUCCAUUUUUGAUUCUCUUUCCAUAUUCCCCCCCCCCCAUGCUCUGCCUGCACAUGAUGCAGCCAAACAGGAAUUGGAGAGAGACGAAGAAAAUUUUCAUAAACACAGAAAAUAAAUUGCACACAAACAUCAAACCAAAGCUGGUGCAUUGUUAGCAGUGCUUUUCCAGAGCCUUGAUAUUUCCUGAGGACUCUCAUGGGUCUGCGGUCUCUUCCACCACAUCAAUCCCAGUACGUUGUAUGCUCAUUAGCCCGAAGAGCAUGCUCAUAUUUAUGGGGUUGGGAGUGGCACGAUGAGCUCCGUUCCCAAAGGUGGAAUAUUCACUGUGUGCUGCCAGACAUCAUGGUAAUUUGGGGUGUGUGGGGGCUGGAGGGCACAGCCCCAUACUUCGCAGCCUGCUGUGGAGCUCCUUGCUGCAAGUCUCAGCCCUCCCAGCAUGGCACGUGCUGAUGCAGGCUGCCUGUUGGCAACGUUUGCCAGAAGUUUAUCAUCUCCUGUGUUUAAAAAAAAAAAAAAAAAAACUCCCAUCAGUCAAGCUCAGCUCUUCCAUUUUCCAGUAAUUCUCAGGGCAUUCUGAACCUCCUCAGCUCCUAAACAAGGAUGGUAUGAGCCACAGCCAUAGCUGCUGCUCUGAAUGCAGCUGAUGUUGCUCACUGUCUUCUGGGAGUCACUGCUGGAGGAGGCUGAGGGCUCCCACCACCGACGCCCAGGAGUGGGGCCCAUUGCACCAGCCUCAUCCAACCCAGUGGAGGUAUCCAGGAAUGAAAGGCACAGAGGCACCACUCGGAGGUGAUUCACCCUUUUCCAAACCCGGUAUCUCAGGCUGCUGCUGUGAGUCACCCUGGGAACCGCCUCCCUGUCUCUCUCAGCUAUAAAAGAUACUUAUUUAACCUGCACGGAUCUCAUGCAUCACUUUAAAAUUGCUGAAGUGGGUUGAAGCCUGCCCCCGCCACCUUUGCCAAGUGACAAGAGAUGCUUCAGCCCUCGCUUGGGUUGGAGGAAUUUUGGCUGGAGGGGAAUUCAGGGCAGGUGAGCGCAGCAUGGCCUGACGUCCUCACCUGCUGGAGGUGGGAGGAUCACAGCUGUAAUGUCCCAGGACAUUAACACUACUUUCCAAUGAUGCACUUCCUGGUGGUCACCCAGGAGCAGCGCAUCUCAGCAUCAUUUCUCUGGGAUUCGGGGUCAGGCUGAGUCUAUUUCAGGUGGUCAAACGGCAGCCGAACAGCUGCUAAUCUAGAUCACUGCUGCUUAAUCCAGCAGCUCGAAAAGACGGA